rnacentral:rRNA from 10 species
UAUGGCCUUACCAACCUGAACAUGCCCAAUCUUAUCUGAUCUCAGAAGCUAAGCAGGGUUGGGCCUGGUUAGUACUUAGAUGGAGAAACUGGGAGAGCACCAGCUCCAAGCCAGGU